rnacentral:tRNA from 1 species
GCCGGCAUGGUGGAAUGGUAGACACAGUAGACUCAAAAUCUACCGGGAGCGAUCCUGUAUCGGUUCAAGUCCGAUUGCCGGUA